GAUGAACGCUGGCGGCGUGCCUAAUACAUGCCAGUCGAGCGAACAGACGAGGAGCUUGCUCCUCUGACGUUAGCGGCGGACGGGUGAGUAACACGUGGAUAACCUACCUAUAAGACUGGGAUAACUUCGGGAAACCGGAGCUAAUACCGGAUAAUAUAUUGAACCGCAUGGUUCAAUAGUGAAAGACGGUUUUGCUGUCACUUAUAGAUGGAUCCGCGCCGCAUUAGCUAGUUGGUAAGGUAACGGCUUACCAAGGCAACGAUGCGUAGCCGACCUGAGAGGGUGAUCGGCCACACUGGAACUGAGACACGGUCCAGACUCCUACGGGAGGCAGCAGUAGGGAAUCUUCCGCAAUGGGCGAAAGCCUGACGGAGCAACGCCGCGUGAGUGAUGAAGGUCUUUGGAUCGUAAAACUCUGUUAUUAGGGAAGAACAAAUGUGUAAGUAACUAUGCACGUCUUGACGGUACCUAAUCAGAAAGCCACGGCUAACUACGUG
rnacentral:rRNA from 1 species